GCAAAUGUAGCACAGUAACGGCUGGUCAGCGGAGGCGCUCACUGUCGCUGUUGUCUAUCAACAGACACAAUGUGCAUAUAGUGUGACACAAGUCUGCCUCGUCGACAGAAUGUAAUACAUUUUCAUGGACUUGCCUAUUCUAACACCCAAUUUCCAUGCUGGUGAAUCUGUGAGUGCUUGGAUCCUGGACACUUUGGAAGGAAAUCAGUCCUUGUUUGCCUGUUUGGACAUGUGUGGACCAGGAUUUUAAAAUAGGAUGCAACAAGAAAGGUGAAGAGAAAGAGGUUUCAAGGAAAAGAAGGAGACAUGCCAGAGAAGAGAAAAAAACUUCAACAAGCAUUGAUACCAGGGAGAUAAAAUAAACUGGUAGAUUUAAAAAAAAAAAGUAAAAGUAAGUAAAAUGUGGAUGAGAGAUGGCCAAAAGAAGAGAGGGAUUUUGUGCAGCAUCAUAUGAAAUGUUUGACUGGGAAGUGAAAAAAAUGAAAAACAUAAAGGAAUCCAAAUAUAAAAUUGCAUGAGUCAAAUAAACUGAUGGAGUCAAUAAAAACUACACUGGAUUUGAUUUAACAGUGAGUGCACUCAGGGGGAAACCCCCCAAAACCCUUCUUUGAAGUUCUUCUCUCUAUGGGUGGUAAUGUGGCAUGGUGC